GACAUAGGUGGCGAACGUUAUCCGGAAUUACUGGGCGUAAAGCGUGCGUAGGUGGUUUGUUAAGUCUGUUGUGAAAGCCCCGGGCUCAACCUGGGAAUGGCAAUGGAUACUGGCAAGCUAGAGUGGGGUAGAGGGUAGUGGAAUUCCCGGUGUAGCGGUGAAAUGCGUAGAGAUCGGGAGGAACACCAGUGGCGAAGGCGGCUACCUGGACCAGCACUGACACUGAGGCACGAAAGCGUGGGGAGCAAACAGG
rnacentral:rRNA from 1 species